rnacentral:lncRNA from 1 species
AGAGGUACUAUUCUUUCACUCGUGUCGGCAACCAUUGAGUGAUUGAUCAGUAUGGCUUCACGUGUUUUCUUCUUCAACAGAAAUCUUCGACAAAUUGUCCGUAAUUUCCACCAAGCUGAGUGUGCAUGUGACAGGUGUUGACGAGGCUGAAAAAGACUGGCGCCUCUUCGAUAUCUGGGAUUGGCGCUUCGACAAAUUGCCCGUGAUUUCCGCAAAGUUGAGUUUGCGCG